rnacentral:rRNA from 2 species
AGGUGCGAUUAUACCAUCACUAAUGCACCGGAUCCCAUCAGAACUCCGCAGUUAAGCGUUAUUGGGCGAGAGUAGUACUAGGAUCGGUGCCCUCUUGGGAAGUUCUCUUGUUGAACCGC